GCCUUCUUAGCUCAGUGGUAGAGUACUGGUCUCGUAAACCAGGGGUCGUGAUUUCGAACCUCACAGAAGGCA
rnacentral:tRNA from 1 species